rnacentral:rRNA from 1 species
CUAACACAUGCAAGUCGAACGAUGAAACCGCCCUCGGGCGGACAUGAAGUGGCGAACGGGUGAGUAACACGUGACCAACCUGCCCCCCUCUCCGGGACAACCUUGGGAAACCGAGGCUAAUACCGGAUACUCCCUCCCCUGCUCCUGCAGGGGUCGGGAAAGCCCAGGCGGAGGGGGAUGGGGUCGCGGCCCAUUAGGUAGUAGGCGGGGUAACGGCCCACCUAGCCCGCGAUGGGUAGCCGGGUUGAGAGACCGACCGGCCACAUUGGGACUGAGAUACGGCCCAGACUCCUACGGGAGGCAGCAGUGGGGAAUUUUGCGCAAUGGGGGCAACCCUGACGCAGCAACGCCGCGUGCGGGACGACGGCCUUCGGGUUGUAAACCGCUUUCAGCAGGGAAGAAAUUCGACGGUACCUGCAGAAGAAGCUCCGGCUAACUACGUGCCAGCAGCCGCGGUAAUACGUAGGGAGCGAGCGUUAUCCGGAUUCAUUGGGCGUAAAGAGCGCGUAGGCGGCCUCUCAAGCGGGAUCUCUAAUCCGAGGGCUCAACCCCCGGCCGGAUCCCGAACUGGGAGGCUCGAGUUCGGUAGAGGCAGGCGGAAUUCCCGGUGUAGCGGUGGAAUGCGCAGAUAUCGGGAAGAACACCGAUGGCGAAGGCAGCCUGCUGGGCCGCAACUGACGCUGAGGCGCGAAAGCUAGGGGAGCGAACAGGAUUAGAUACCCUGGUAGUCCUAGCCGUAAACGAUGGAUACUAGGUGUGGGGGGCUCCGCCCUCCGUGCCGCAGCCAACGCAUUAAGUAUCCCGCCUGGGGAGUACGGCCGCAAGGCUAAAACUCAAAGGAAUUGACGGGGGCCCGCACA